GUCCGGCUCAUUUGGUUAGAGCGCCAGUCUAGUAUAUUGGAGGUCUAGGGUUCAAAUCCUACUAGACA